rnacentral:pre_miRNA from 1 species
AGCAGGAUUGCUGGAUCAUAUGGUGGUUCCCUUCCAAGUUUUCCAAGGAAAUUCCAUACUGCUUUCCAUAGUGGUUGUACCAAUUUGCAGUCCCACCAGCAAU